rnacentral:rRNA from 2 species
GUAACCUUUUAGGAACCAGCCGCCUAAGGUGGGACAGAUGAUUAGGGUGAAGUCGUAACAAGGUAGCCGUAGGAGAACCUGCGGCUGGAUCACCUCCUUUCUAAGGAA